GAUGAACGCUAGCUACAGGCUUAACACAUGCAAGUCGAGGGGCAGCAUGGUCUUAGCUUGCUAAGGCCGAUGGCGACCGGCGCACGGGUGAGUAACACGUAUCCAACCUGCCGUCUACUCUUGGACAGCCUUCUGAAAGGAAGAUUAAUACAAGAUGGCAUCAUGAGUCCACAUGUUCACAUGAUUAAAGGUAUUCCGGUAGACGAUGGGGAUGCGUUCCAUUAGAUAGUAGGCGGGGUAACGGCCCACCUAGUCUUCGAUGGAUAGGGGUUCUGAGAGGAAGGUCCCCCACAUUGGAACUGAGACACGGUCCAAACUCCUACGGGAGGCAGCAGUGAGGAAUAUUGGUCAAUGGGCGAGAGCCUGAACCAGCCAAGUAGCGUGAAGGAUGACUGCCCUAUGGGUUGUAAACUUCUUUUAUAAAGGAAUAAAGUCGGGUAUGGAUACCCGUUUGCAUGUACUUUAUGAAUAAGGAUCGGCUAACUCCGUGCCAGCAGCCGCGGUAAUACGGAGGAUCCGAGCGUUAUCCGGAUUUAUUGGGUUUAAAGGGAGCGUAGAUGGAUGUUUAAGUCAGUUGUGAAAGUUUGCGGCUCAACCGUAAAAUUGCAGUUGAUACUGGAUAUCUUGAGUGCAGUUGAGGCAGGCGGAAUUCGUGGUGUAGCGGUGAAAUGCUUAGAUAUCACGAAGAACUCCGAUUGCGAAGGCAGCCUGCUAAGCUGCAACUGACAUUGAGGCUCGAAAGUGUGGGUAUCAAACAGGAUUAGAUACCCUGGUAGUCCACACGGUAAACGAUGAAUACUCGCUGUUUGCGAUAUACAGCAAGCGGCCAAGCGAAAGCGUUAAGUAUUCCACCUGGGGAGUACGCCGGCAACGGUGAAACUCAAAGGAAUUGACGGGGGCCCGCACAAGCGGAGGAACAUGUGGUUUAAUUCGAUGAUACGCGAGGAACCUUACCCGGGCUUAAAUUGCAGAUGAAUUACGGUGAAAGCCGUAAGCCGCAAGGCAUCUGUGAAGGUGCUGCAUGGUUGUCGUCAGCUCGUGCCGUGAGGUGUCGGCUUAAGUGCCAUAACGAGCGCAACCCUUGUUGUCAGUUACUAACAGGUUCCGCUGAGGACUCUGUCAAGACUGCCAUCGUAAGAUGUGAGGAAGGUGGGGAUGACGUCAAAUCAGCACGGCCCUUACGUCCGGGGCUACACACGUGUUACAAUGGGGGGUACAGAGGGCCGCUACCACGCGAGUGGAUGCCAAUCCCAAAAACCUCUCUCAGUUCGGACUGGAGUCUGCAACCCGACUCCACGAAGCUGGAUUCGCUAGUAAUCGCGCAUCAGCCACGGCGCGGUGAAUACGUUCCCGGGCCU
rnacentral:rRNA from 1 species